rnacentral:rRNA from 1 species
GCUCGUAGUUGGAUUUCGGGCGUGGAGGUUCGGUCCGCCGUUUCGGUGUGCACUGUCUUUCUGCGUCUUUCUGUCGGGGACGCGCUUCUGGCCUUAAUUGGCUGGGACGUGGAUUCGACGAGGUUACUUUGAAAAAAUUAGAGUGUUCAAAGCAAGCUAAAGCUCUGAAUACAUUAGCAUGGAAUAACGCGAGAGGACUCGGUCCUUAUUUUGUUGGUCUUCAAGGAUGGAGUAAUGAUUAAGAGGGACAGUUGGGGGCAUUCGUAUUUCAUUGCUAGAGGUGAAAUUCUUGGAUUUAUGAAAGACGAACUUCUGCGAAAGCAUUUGCCAAGGAUGUUUUCAUUGAUCAAGAACGAAAGUUGGGGGCUCGAAGAUGAUCAGAUACCAUCCUAGUCUCAACCAUAAACGAUGCCGACUAGGGAUUGGCAGGUGUUACAUCGAUGACUCUGCCAGCACCUUAUGAGAAAUCAAAGUUUUUGGGUUCCGGGGGGAGUAUGGUCGCAAGGCUGAAACUUAAAGGAAUUGACGGAAGGGCACCACCAGGAGUG